AUGGCCCUGUUUGAGGAAUUCUUCAUCGGGACCAUCGACCUCACUAGACUUAACUUCGGGAUCAUCACCCUCAUCCCCAAAGUCACCGGGGCCUCGGAUAUUCGCCAGUUUAGGCCGAUCACCGUCAUUAAUGUCAUCUUCCGCAUCCUCGCGAAGGGGUACGCCAUUAGGGUGGCCCCUAUUGCUGAUAGGAUCACUCACCCUGAUCAGUCGACAUUUAUUCAGGGCCGGUAUAUCCUUGACGGAGUCCUGGUUUUCCACGAAGCUGUAACACCCCGGAUGUAA
rnacentral:rRNA from 1 species